CCAUGGCGAACGCCCGCUUUCCAGUCAACCCAGCAACGCCUCCACCGCCAUUUUUAGCAGAAAUCCAAUUUGUGUUAGCAAAAGUUUAAGAGAGAGAGAGAAAGAGAUUGGCGGUGAUGACCCAAUGAAAUUCAAGCUCAACAGACCGGAUUGUAGGCCUUCUCUUUUCAAGAGAAGGUUUGCGUGUCGACAACCCCGCUGAACUGAGCCUUCUCUUUCUCCCUUCUUUUUUUCUUCAUUUUAUUUCCCUGAAAAUUUUGUGAUUUGGUUGUUUUUUAUUUGUAUUUAAUUUGUUUUCAAUUGUUUUUUAAUUAAAUUUAAUUUUGGUGGGAAGGUGAAGGAAAGGGGGAUUGCUAUGAGGAUACCAAGCUCCCUCUUCUGAUUAAGGUUGAGGAAACUUGCCGGCAGAAUCGAACCUAAAAAUUAUCAGCCACCACUGAAUACUAGUUUAUGACUUAGAGUUAUCAUUCGGUUCGUGAGCAUAUCUUGGAAUUUGAUGACAAUUUUGAGAGGACUUUGAGAAGGAAUAGGAAUCAGCAAGAUCGUAACCCACCUAUUCCUGAACCUGAGUUUGAAGAAUACUUGAAGAAGAAGAGGAAUAUCCCAACAUGGCAGCGGACAAUCGAACAAUCAAGAAGCUUUCCGCUUCGGGAUUGGACAAUGCCGCUCCCCUAUGCAUCCAGUACCCCAUGGCUACCCUAAGGAAGACGGACGAGUUCGAAUUGAAAUCAAGUUUGUUGCAUCACAUUCCUAAGUUCCACGGGAUGUCCAUGUAAGAUCCUAAUAAACACUUGAAGGAGUUUGAUGUUGUUUGUUCGAGUACGACUCUCGUGAAUGUUGAUAGAGCAUUUUGAAGAUGAAGGCCUUUC